rnacentral:rRNA from 1 species
GUCUAUGGCCCUACCACGCUGAACACGCCGGAUGUCAUCUCAUCUCGGAAACUAAAGCAGGGUCGGGCCUGCUUAGGACUUGGAUGAGGGGAUGGAUAAAUCGCUGGACU